AUCAUCUGGAUUUUAGUUGCAUUGUUAUGUGUUAAUGAGUUGAUGCUAGUCUGCUGAGUAAAUAUUGUAUUGUCCUCUUCCUUUGAGUAAAAUUUCUUUAACCAUGUUCAUUAAAGAAUGUUUUAAAAAUCAUGUUUGUUUAUGUUGUCUUUUAUGUUGAAGUGUGGGUGGCAGAGUUGACCAUGUUCCUCGGGAUGAAAGAGAGCUGGACCGCAGGCUUUCUGAGCAGAGUAGUGGUGCCCCACCAAGCUAUGAAGAAGCCACAAGAGAUGUCCACAACCAUGUGCAAGGAGAUAGAAAUAUCAGUGGAGUUAAAGCAGCUGCACCAACAGCACCUUCUUCUGUACCAAGCACAAACUCUCCUCCACAAACUCUGAAUCAGGGUUCACCACCUGUGCCAGCAGCUAGCUCCACUGUCAAAAUUGAAAACCAUGGUUCAGGCAAUAUAAUGUUUCAUAUUCUCUAUCUAAACAAACAACAACGGUAAUAGCAAUGGUUUUGAUGAGUUUGAUCCACGAGGUUCGGCAUCAGGUAU